rnacentral:rRNA from 1 species
UACGUAGGGAGCAAGCGUUGUCCGGAAUCAUUGGGCGUAAAGCGCGCGUAGGCGGCCUCAUAAGUCCGUUGUGAAAGUCAAAGGCUCAACCUUUGAAAGCCGAUGGAUACUGUGAGGCUAGAGUCCGGAAGAGGCGAGUGGAAUUCCUGGUGUAGCGGUGGAAUGCGCAGAUAUCAGGAGGAACACCAAUAGCGAAGGCAGCUCUCUGGGUCCCUACCGACGCUGGGGUGCGAAAGCAUGGGGAGCGAACAGG